UGAUUAGCUCAGCUGGGAGAGCACCUCCCUUACAAGGAGGGGGUCGGCGGUUCGACAUUUAACUCAG
rnacentral:tRNA from 1 species